AGGGCGUAUGGUGGAUGCCUUGGCAGACAGGACCGAUGAAGGACGUUUGAGGCUGCGAUAUGCCUCGGGGAGCCGCCAACAGGGCUUUGAUCCGAGGAUUUCCGAAUGGGGGAACCCACCGACCGUCAUGGGUCGGUACCGGCUUCGGCCGGGGGGUACGCAGGGAAGUGAAACAUCUCAGUACCUGCAGGAAAGGAUAUUCCGUGAGUAGUGGCGAGCGAAAGCGGAUGAUGGCCAAACCUUGCGCGUGUGAUACCCGUCGGGGGUUGCGCGCGGGGUGUUGCGGGAUCGCGUGCGCCGGCUCCGACGGGCCGGCCGGCAGUUGCAGAAAACCAUGUGUCAGGGGAACCGGGUUGAAUACCGGGCCGCAGAGGGUGAGGGCCCCGUACCUGAACGCGCAUGGUCUGCCGAUCGCGUCUCCCAAGUAGCACGGGUCCCGUGGAACCCCGUGCGAAUCCGCCCAGACCGUUGGGUAAGCCUGAAUAUUCCUGUCUGACCGAUAGCGAACGAGUACCGUGAGGGAAAGGUGAAAAGUACCCCGGGAGGGGAGUGAAACAGUCUCUGAAACCGUGCGCCUACAAUCCGUCGGAGCCCUUUUGUGGGGUGACGGCGUGCCUAUCGAAAAAUGAGUCUGCGAGUCAGUGGCAUGUGGCGAGCAUAACCCGUGUGGGGUAUGCGUAGCGAAGGCGAGUCUCAAAAGGCGUUUGAGUCGCGUGUCCUGGACCCGAAGCGGGAUGAUCUAGCCCUGAGCAGGUUGAAGCGCGGGUAAGACCGCGUGGAGGACCGAACCCACCUGGGUUGAAAACCGGGGGGAUGACUUGGGGCUAGGGGUGAAAGGCCAAUCAAAUUCCGUGAUAGCUGGUUCUCUCCGAAAUGCAUUUGGGUGCAGCGUCGGGUCAUUACGUCCCGGGGGUAGAGCUACUGGAUGCUUGCGGGCCCGUAUCGGGUACCAACAGCAACCAAACUCCGAAUACCGGUGACGCGUAUCCCGGCAGUGAGUCGGCGGGGGAUAAGCUUCGUCGUCGAAAGGGAAACAGCCCAGACCGUCGUCUAAGGUCCCGAAGCGUGUGCUAAGUGGGAAAGGAUGUGGAGUCGCAUAGACAGCCAGGAGGUUGGCUCAGAAGCAGCCACCCUUGAAAGAGUGCGUAACAGCUCACUGGUCUAGUGGUUCCGCGCCGACAAUGUAGCGGGGCUCAAGCACGCCACCGAAGACGCGGCAGCGUCCGUUUGGAUGCUGGGUAGGAGAGCGUCCCCAUCGGGGCGAAGCGGCGGCGCAAGCCUGCCGUGGACCGUUGGGGAGUGAGAAUGCAGACAUGAGUAGCGAGAGGCGGGUGCGAAUCCCGCCCGCUGGAUGACCAAGGGUUCCGGGGCCACGUUCGUCGUCCCCGGGUGAGUCGGGUCCUAAGGCGAGGCCGACAGGCGUAGUCGAAUGGAUGAACGGGUCGAUAUUCCCGUACCGGCUUUCAGCCGCCAAAACCGAGGCUUGGAGUACUAACCUCCGGGUCCGGGCUUACUGCUCCUUCGGGGGCGGGAUGCCCUGGCCUGUUGGGACCGAUCCUUGUAGUAGGUCAGCGCAGGAGUGACGCAGAAGGGUAGCCGGCCGCGGAGGUGGUCUUCCGUGGUCAAGCACGCAGGGCGUGGGACAGGCAAAUCCGUCCCGCAUGGGUCCGAGGUGCGAUGAUGGGGGCCUUAUGGCCCGAUAUCCGGUGAUCCCGGCUGCCGAGAAAAGCUUCGGCGUCAGGCUCAAAGCCGCCCGUACCCCAAACCGACACUGGUGGUCAGGUAGAGAAUACCAAAGCGAUCGAGCGAAUCCUGGUCAAGGAACUCGGCAAAUCACUCCCGUUCCUUCGGUUUAAGGGAGACCCCCGAUGGUGAACCGCCUCGCGCGGGGAGCUUUUGGGGGUGGCACAGACCAGGGGGUAGCGACUGUUUACCAAAAACACAGGUGCAUGCGAAGGCGCAAGCCGCUGUAUAUGCACUGACGCCUGCCCGGUGCCGGAAGGUUAAGAGGAUCCGUCAGCCUUCGGGUGAAGCGGUGAAUUCAAGCCCCGGUAAACGGCGGUGGUAACUAUAACCAUCCUAAGGUAGCGAAAUUCCUUGUCGGGUAAGUUCCGACCUGCACGAAUGGCGUAACGACUUCCCCACUGUCUCGACCAGGAGCUCGGCGAAAUUGCAGUACGAGUAAAGAUGCUCGUUAAGCGCAGAAGGACGAAAAGACCCCGGGACCUUUACUAUACCUUGGUAUUGGCAU
rnacentral:rRNA from 1 species